AGCAGCGUGACCUGGCCUCCCAGCCGCUCCCCUCCUGAUGAGCUCGCCGGAGCCGGCCUGCACGGGGCAAGCCUGACUCCCAGCCGCGCCAGCAUGAACUGGAAGGUCCUUGAGCACGUGCCUGUGCUGCUGUAUAUUUUGGCAGCAAAGUCACUGAUCCUCUGCCUGGCGUUUGCCGGAGUCAAGAUAUACCAGCGGAGGAGACUGGAAGCAAAACUACACAGACUGGAGGCCGAAAAGAAAACGCAGUCGGCGAAGAAGGAAAACUGAAGGCGGGAAGCCCGCGGUCUGUGGCCCUGCUCCUGGACUACAUAUAAUCAGCUUUCCUGCUCUCGGGCCUUUGUUUGUGAUACCCCUUCUGCAGGACCGCGCACAGGCCGGUCAGACGUCCGGGUCGUGGAGAGCCCCUAGCGCAGUGCACCCUGCCGGCUGCGCUCCAAAGAUGAGCACGCUGAGGCAUGCAGACUCGUGCUGAAGGCCCUGUUACAGAUUUUGCAGUUUAAAUGUCAGCUCUGGGAGACGCCAGUUGAGAAGAAAGAAGACUUAAUUAUUGAAUGACGCGUCAGAAUAAACUCCUAACCAUUUAAACUUAA